GAUGAACGCUGGCGGCGUGCCUAAUACAUGCAAGUCGAGCGAAUGGCUUAAGAGCUUGCUCUUAUGAAGUUAGCGGCGGACGGGUGAGUAACACGUGGGUAACCUGCCCAUAAGACUGGGAUAACUCCGGGAAACCGGGGCUAAUACCGGAUAACAUUUUGAACCGACUGGUUCGAAAUUGAAAGGCGGCUUCCGCUGUCACUGAUGGAUGGACCCGCGUCGAAUUGGCUAGUUGGUGAGGUAACGGAUCACCAAGGCAACGAUGCGUAGCCGACCUGAGAGGGUGAUCGGCCACACUGGGACUGAGACACGGCCCAGACUCCUACGGGAGGCAGCAGUAGGGAAUCUUCCGCAAUGGACGAAAAUCUGACGGAGCAACGCCGCGUGAGUGAUGAAGGCUUUCGGGUCGUAAAACUCUGUUGUUAGGGAAGAACAAGUGCUAGUUGAAUAAGCUGGCACCUUGACGGUACCUAACCAGAAAGCCACGGCUAACUACGUGCCAGCCGCCGCAGUAA
rnacentral:rRNA from 1 species